rnacentral:rRNA from 1 species
AGUGAACGCUGGCGGUAGGCCUAACACAUGCAAGUCGAACGGCAGCACAGUAAGAGCUUGCUCUUACGGGUGGCGAGUGGCGGACGGGUGAGGUAUACAUCGGAAUCUACUUUUUCGUGGGGGCUAACGUAGGGAAACUUACGCUAAUACCGCAUACGACCUACGGGUGAAAGCAGGGGAUCUUCGGACCUUGCGCGAUUGCAUGAGCCGAUGUCGGAUUAGCUAGUUGGCGGGGUAAAGGCCCACCAAGGCGACGAUCCGUAGCUGGUCUGAGAGGAUGAUCAGCCACACUGGAACUGAGACACGGUCCAGACUCCUACGGGAGGCAGCAGUGGGGAAUAUUGGACAAUGGGCGAAAGCCUGAUCCAGCAAUACCGCGUGGGUGAAGAAGGCCUUCGGGUUGUAAAGCCCUUUUGUUGGGAAAGAAAAGCAGCAGGUUAAUACCCCGCUGUUCUGACGGUACCCAAAGAAUAAGCACCGGCUAACUUCGUG